AUUGAACGCUGGCGGCAGGCCUAACACAUGCAAGUAGAACGAGUGGCGGAAGGGGGAGUAAUGUCUGGGAAACUGCCUGAUGGGGGGGGAUAAAUACUGGAAACGGUAGCUAAUAACGGAUACCAUAAGAUGUGCCCAGAUGGGAUUAGAUAGUUGGUGGGGUAACGGCUCCCCAAGGCGACGAUCCCUAGCUGGUCUGAGAGGCUGACCAGCCACACUGGAACUGAGACACGGUCCAGACUCCUACGGGAAGCAGCAGUGGGGAAUAUUGCACAAUGGGCGCAAGCCUGAUGCAGCCAUGCCGCGUGUAUGAAGAAGGCCUUCGGGUUGUAAAGUACUUUCAGCGGGGAGGCGUUACCCGCAGAAGAAGCACCGGCUAACUCCGUGCCAGCAGCCGCGGUAAUUC
rnacentral:rRNA from 1 species